AGAUACCCCACUAUGCCUAGCCAUAAACAUUGACAGUACUUUACACCCACUGUUCGCCUGGGUACUACGAGCGCAAGCUUAAAACCCAAAGGACUUGGCGGUGCUUUAGACCCCCCUAGAGGAGCCUGUUCUAGAACCGAUAACCCCCGUUCAACCUCACCCUUUCUUGUUCAUCCCGCCUAUAUACCACCGUCGUCAGCUUACCCUCUGAGGGUCCAAUAGUAAGCACAAUUGGCACAGCCCAAAACGUCAGGUCGAGGUGUAGCGUAUGAGAGGGGAAGAAAUGGGCUACAUUCACCCUUUACGGUGUACUACGAAAGAUGCAAUUGAAACAUUCAUCAGAAGGAGGAUUUAGCAGUAAG
rnacentral:rRNA from 1 species